rnacentral:rRNA from 1 species
UGAGGAAUAUUGGUCAAUGGGGGCAACCCUGAACCAGCCAAGUCGCGUGAAGGAUGAAGGUCUUAUGGAUUGUAAACUUCUUUUAUACAGGAAUAAAUUGGGGGACGUGUCCCCUUUUGCAUGUACUGUAUGAAUAAGGAUCGGCUAACUCCGUGCCAGCAGCCGCGGUAAUACGGAGGAUCCGAGCGUUAUCCGGAUUUAUUGGGUUUAAAGGGUGCGCAGGCGGGAUGUUAAGUCGGCGGUGAAAUUUUGCAGCUCAACUGUAAAAGUGCCUUCGAUACUGGCUUCCUUGAGUGUGGAUGAANUAGGCGGAAUUUGUGGUGUAGCGGUGAAAUGCUUAGAUAUCACGAAGAACUCCGAUUGAGAAGGCAGCUUACCGGGGUACAACUGACGCUGAUGCACGAAAGUGUGGGUAUCAAACA